ensembl:lncRNA
ACCACCACCACCAUCAUCAUCAUCAUCUUCCACGCCAGUCUGUUCUCCACAUGGCCUCUCUCUGCGCUAACUGUUGGACUGUUGUCCUGUUCCUGAUGGGGCUUCAAAUCCUUCUCAUAAUGGCAACACCUGUUCCUCAAACCUCCACCACGGCUGCACCCCAGAACUUAAAGACGCAUGUGCGAGACAACAUCAGGAGAGAGGCACAGGACUUACUCCACUAUCUGGACAUUUUGCCUCCCACCAAGAGCCAACCCAAGCUCGGAGGUCUUCACUCCCCUGUCGACGGCUCCAACCUGACCUGUGCAGUCCUGGACCGGA